UGAACCAGGGUCUUCUGGGAGAACAGCCAGAGCUCUUAAGUGCUGAGCCACCUCUCCAGGCCUGUAAAAAUUGCAGUUAGAAGAAAGUGCAGGUGUGUGUACUUACAGUGUAAGGUGAACGUGUGCAGGUGUGUGUACUUACAGCGUAAGGUGAACGUGUGCAGGUGUGUGUACUUACAGCGUAAGGUGAACGUGUGCAGGUGUGUGUACUUACAGCGUAAGGUGAACGUGUGCAGGUGUGUGUACUUACAGCGUAAGGUGAACGUGUGCAGGUGUGUGUACUUACAGCGUAAGGUGAACGUGUGCAGGUGUGUGUACUUACAGCGUAAGGUGAACGUGUGCAGGUGUGUGUACUUACAGCGUAAGGUGAACGUGUGCAGGUGUGUGUACUUACAGCGUAAGGUGAACGUGUGCAGGUGUGUGUACUUACAGCGUAAGGUGAACGUGUGCAGGUGUGUGUACUUACAGCGUAAGGUGAACGUGUGCAGGUGUGUGUACUUACAGUGUAAGGUGGGGCUAAAGUCAGCUGAGUCCAAAGGAGGCAAUGGAGAGUAAGAAUGGGAGAAGGAAUUAGGAGAUCAAACCGGGCAGUAGUGGUGCAUGCCUUUAAUCCCAACAUUUGGAAGGGAGAGGCAGGCAGAUUUCUGAGGGUCAGCCUGAUCUACAGAGUGAGUUCCAGGACAGCCAAAGCUAUAUAGAGAAACCCUAUCUCAA